CCCUUAGAUGUUCUGGGCCGCACGCGUGCUACACUGAGUGGAUCAGCGGGUCAGGUUGCGCGAAAGUGUUUCCUAAUCUUUAAAUCCGCUCGUGAUGGGGAUUGACGGUUGCAAUUUUCCGUCAUGAACGAGGAAUACCUUGUAAGCGCGGGUCAUCAUCCCGCGCUGAAUACGUCCCUGCCCUUUGUACACACCGCCCGUCGCUCCUACCGAUUGAGUGGUCCGGUGAGGCUUUGGGAUCUGAGCGGAAAGAGCGUUUCGCUGUUUCUGCCCGGAAAACUCAGUCGAACCUUAUCAUUUAGGGGAAGGAGAAGUCGUAACA
rnacentral:rRNA from 1 species